GAUGAACGCUGGCGGCGUGCCUAAUACAUGCAAGUCGAGCGAACGGACGAGAAGCUUGCUUCUCUGAUGUUAGCGGCGGACGGGUGAGUAACACGUGGAUAACCUACCUAUAAGACUGGGAUAACUUCGGGAAACCGGAGCUAAUACCGGAUAAUAUUUUGAACCGCAUGGUUCAAAAGUGAAAGACGGUCUUGCUGUCACUUAUAGAUGGAUCCGCGCUGCAUUAGCUAGUUGGUAAGGUAACGGCUUACCAAGGCAACGAUGCAUAGCCGACCUGAGAGGGUGAUCGGCCACACUGGAACUGAGACACGGUCCAGACUCCUACGGGAGGCAGCAGUAGGGAAUCUUCCGCAAUGGGCGAAAGCCUGACGGAGCAACGCCGCGUGAGUGAUGAAGGUCUUCGGGUCGUAAAACUCUGUUAUUAGGGAAGAACAUAUGUGUAAGUAACUGUGGACAUCUUGACGGUACCUAAUCAGAAAGCCACGGCUAACUACGUG
rnacentral:rRNA from 1 species